UCAUAGGGAGAUAAAAAAGCCAUCACUCAGCAUGGAAAGGAAGGCACCAAGGAUAGAGAGAUUGCCUCACCAGGAGUCUUUGGCCAUUUGCGGGGAGCUGGGGUGGAGAGGGAGGGCGCAGAAAGGGGAAGGGAGGUUGAUUCUGACCGGGAUGGAUGGAGUGGGGAGAAAAGGGGGAAGCAGUGGUCGAGGCAAUUUAGGAAAAAAGUGCGCACAUGUGCCAUUGGUUGGCCAGCAGCCUGCUGUUUAGAGUGUGGCUCUGCAGCUGCCCCCUCGCUCAGAAACUCCAGGUUUAGUAGGUCCAGAAUUGAGGCUGUGAAAGCCACAUUUUAAAAAACAAUUCCAAAGUGAUUGCCAUGAAGGUAUUCUAUGAACUGUACUCGAGGCGUUGAGAAACUCUGCCCAGUCAGCAGCUUUGGUGACCGUGAAGGAGCACAGAGAUGGCUUCUCUCCUUGGCCUGAACUCGGUGAGGAUCCGGAGCCUUGAAAGUACAUGCCCGUCCUCAGCCAGUCCAGACAAAUUGGGGUCUCCACUCAUGACUUUUAAGCUUCAACCUGCUGGUCUGCCUCUCACUGUCUCUGCACACGCCAAAGAAAGGCUACGGCCAAAGGCCCGAAUUUGCAGGCUUCGCUGGGACCAGACUGGUUAUCCAUUGCAGAUUCUUUACCAUUUGAACCACCAGAGAAGCCCAUGGAAUUGCUGGGUUGUAUGCCUAAGACGCUCAAGACUCAGCCAAAUGACCAGAAAAACCUCAUGAAACUAACAGAGCGUUUAGAGAAGUCGCCAUGUGGAUCUCAUGGGAACACAGCUGGUGAUGCAGCUGCCGCCACUCCUGCUUCUCAAACACCAGCUUCUGUUGUAACCAGGAGCUGCGAAACCUCACUGAAAGAGCCCUCCUCAA